rnacentral:rRNA from 1 species
CUACACUUGACAUGCCUCUUGGGACUUUCAGAGAUGAUUGUUUUCGGUUCGGCCGGGGAGUGCACAGGUGCUGCAUGGCUGUCGUCAGCUCGUGUCGUGAGAUGUUGGGUUAAGUCCCGCAACGAGCGCAACCCUUAUGGUAUGUUGCCAGCAUUUAGUUGGGCAUUCAUGCGAGACUGCCGGUGAUAAGCCGGAGGAAGGCGGGGACGACGUCAAGUCAUCAUGGCCCUUACGUGUAGGGCUACAAACGUGCUACAAUGGUGGUGACAAUGGGCAGCGAGGUGGUGAGGCCAAGCUAAUCCCUAAAAGCCAUCUCAGUUCAGAUUGUACUCUGCAACUCGAGUACAUGAAGUUGGAAUCG